AUUGAACGCUGGCGGCAUGCCUUACACAUGCAAGUCGAACAGCAGCGGACCUUCGGGUGCCGGCGAGUGGCGAACGGGUGAGUAAUAUAUCGGAACGUACCUUUCAGUGGGGGAUAACGUAGCGAAAGUUACGCUAAUACCGCAUAUUCUGUGAGCAGGAAAGCAGGGGGAUCGCAAGACCUUGCGCUGAUUGAGCGGCCGAUAUCAGAUUAGCUAGUUGGUGAGGUAAAGGCUCACCAAGGCGACGAUCUGUAGCGGGUCUGAGAGGAUGAUCCGCCACACUGGAACUGAGACACGGUCCAGACUCCUACGGGAGGCAGCAGUGGGGAAUUUUGGACAAUGGGCGCAAGCCUGAUCCAGCCAUGCCGCGUGAGUAAAGAAGGCCUGG
rnacentral:rRNA from 1 species